rnacentral:rRNA from 1 species
UAGGGAAUCUUCGGCAAUGGGGGCAACCCUGACCGAGCAACGCCGCGUGAGUGAAGAAGGUUUUCGGAUCGUAAAGCUCUGUUGUAAGAGAAGAACGGGUGUGAGAGUGGAAAGUUCACACUGUGACGGUAACUUACCAGAAAGGGACGGCUAACUACGUGCCAGCAGCCGCGGUAAUACGUAGGUCCCGAGCGUUAUCCGGAUUUAUUGGGCGUAAAGCGAGCGCAGGCGGUUAGAUAAGUCUGAAGUUAAAGGCUGUGGCUUAACCAUAGUACGCUUUGGAAACUGUUUAACUUGAGUGCAGAAGGGGAGAGUGGAAUUCCAUGUGUAGCGGUGAAAUGCGUAGAUAUAUGGAGGAACACCGGUGGCGAAAGCGGCUCUCUGGUCUGUAACUGACGCUGAGGCUCGAAAGCGUGGGGAGCAAACAGGAUUAGAUACCCUGGUAGUCCACGCCGUAAACGAUGAGUGCUAGGUGUUGGGUCCUUUCCGGGACUCAGUGCCGCAGCUAACGCAUUAAGCACUCCGCCUGGGGAGUACGACCGCAAGGUUG